CUCAAAUCAGGUAGGACUACCCGCUGAACUUAAGCAUAUCAAUAAGCGGAGGAAAAGAAACUAACAAGGAUUCCCCUAGUAACUGCGAGUGAAGCGGGAAAAGCUCAAAUUUAAAAUCUGGCAGCCUUUGGUUGUCCGAGUUGUAGUCUGGAGAAG
rnacentral:rRNA from 2 species